rnacentral:tRNA from 1 species
GUCGGCGUCGCACAGUCCGGAAGUGCGUGAGUCUGAAAAACUCUUGUCUGAGUAUGCCUCUGAUUCAUGAGUUCGAAUCUCACCGCCGACG